rnacentral:rRNA from 1 species
AUGAGUCAGAUCAUCUACCCGAUGCUUAAAGUCGAGUGUGGGCUUGGGCUACGACCCAAAAUUGCUAGCCGCCCCAGCCGAUUGGCCCAAAGGCCCACAAAAAACCCUAGCAUAGUCAUAUAUAUAUCUCGACCUCUCCCGUCCCCCUUCCAUCCUAGCCGCCGCCGCCGCCUCGCCCCCAAAAUCUGGUGCUGCAUCGCGCGUCCACAGCUCCCCCCCUCAUGCGCCCACGAGAACCACAUUCUCACCCCUACCUCUGCUCCACAUGCUUCCUCGAUCACCUAUUCAUGCCAUCCAUUAGCGAAGAUCUACAGUCUUGCUUCACGCCGCUUCUCUGAGUACCGAAUUGUGGCUUGUUGUCGGGGUGCCUUUUCUAACUUACACAUCUUGGGUAGAGAUAGCCGAAGCAACCACCCGCACCUUGGCGACAUAAGUCUUGACACUCUAGCAUCCAAGAUAAUCUCUGGCGACUUAAUUUGGUGGUGCGGAAGAGGGAUAGAGAAAAGUAUGCUUAUUAUGGAUUCUGAGGAAGCUGGUUCAAAGAAGGAAAGGAAUGAGGAAUAUUCCAUAAACUGUCUCCCAAGAGAGCUCAUCGAGCGGAUAUUUUUUCGGCUUCUGGUGAGCACUUUAUUGGUGUGUGUUGGUGUUUUGCCAACCAUUGACCCUGAUGAUUUCCUGUGUGGUUCAUGUAAUGGGAUUAUUUGCUUAUACACAAAGACAUCAACAAUCAAGAUAGCUAACCUUGCAACUGGCGAAUGUCUGCAUCUUGAGAAACCUAUAAAGAAUUUGAGUGGCGACCAAUUCUUGUUCUAUAGUUUUGGGUUUCACCCUUUGACAAGAGAAUACAAAAUUACACACUUGGGUGACUAUGUUGAGGGCCGUCCCGAGAAUGGAGACAAAUUCACCAUCAUUCAAGUUUACAGGCUUGGUGAUGAGAAAUGGAAAGACAUCAGAACCCCAGAAGCCUUAAGCUUGAGUUGCGUCAAAAACUCUGGACUAAUCAAUGUUGGCGGAACAAUGUAUUGGUUAACUAAUGAUAUGGCAACUAACUGGAAGCAUGUUGUUAUGUGCUUUGAUCUCGGCGAAGAAGCUUUUGCACGGAUAGAACUGCCAACAUCCGUACUUGAAAAUAGUGUUUAUGGUGGUCCCCGUAGGUACAGGAUGAGAGAGAUAGAUGGGAAAAUAUGUAUAGCAACCGCUCAAACCUGGCACAAAGUUAUUUAUGGUAAGCUGCAGAUCUGGACACUUGACAACAAGGUCGAGCAAAGUUGGAGCCAGAAGUCUUUUCACAACGAUCUGGCAUACAACUCAAACAUCGUCUGCAAGUAUCCAAGAUCCUCCCGACGGCUUAAUUUGGUGGGGGAAAAGCGAGACAGAGAAAAGUUACUUGCUCGUAUGAGGAAGUACGGAGAUAUUUGCAAGGCUAUGAAUGAGGAAAUUGGGAGGAUCGUUCGUAUGACGGAGAUUGCUAUACAAUAUAAGGUGGGUUCUUCGAGUUCAAAUGAUGCUAUUUCAUCCCAGAAUCACAGUGACGACAAGGAUACAGCUGAGUCUUGA